CCUACGGGCGGCAGCAGUGAGGAAUAUUGGUCAAUGGACGAGAGUCUGAACCAGCCAAGUAGCGUGAAGGAUGACUGCCCUAUGGGUUGUAAACUUCUUUUAUAAAGGAAUAAAACGAGGCACGUGUGCCUUUUUGCAUGUACUUUAUGAAUAAGGAUCGGCUAACUCCGUGCCAGCAGCCGCGGUAAUACGGAGGAUCCGAGCGUUAUCCGGAUUUAUUGGGUUUAAAGGGAGCGUAGAUGGGUUGUUAAGUCAGUUGUGAAAGUUUGCGGCUCAACCGUAAAAUUGCAAUUGAUACUGGCAGUCUAGAGUACAGUUGAGGUAGGCGGAAUUCGUGGUGUAGCGGUGAAAUGCUUAGAUAUCACGAAGAACCCCGAUUGCGAAGGCAGCUUACUAAACUGUGACUGACAUUGAUGCUCGAAAGUGUGGGUAUCAAACAGGAUUAGAUACCCCUGUAGUC
rnacentral:rRNA from 1 species